rnacentral:rRNA from 1 species
UACGGAGGGUGCAAGCGUUAUCCGGAUUCACUGGGUUUAAAGGGUGCGUAGGUGGGCAAGUAAGUCAGUGGUGAAAUCUCCGGGCUUAACCCGGAAACUGCCAUUGAUACUAUUUGUCUUGAAUACUGUGGAGGUCAGCGGAAUAUGUCAUGUAGCGGUGAAAUGCUUAGAUAUGACAUAGAACACCAAUUGCGAAGGCAGCUGGCUACACAAAUAUUGACACUGAGGCACGAAAAGCGUGGGGGAUCAAACAGGGA